GGCGCCAGGGCUUAGAUGGUUAAAGUGCCUGUUUAGUAAACAGGAGAUCCUGGGUUCAAAUCCCAGUGGUGCCU